rnacentral:lncRNA from 1 species
CAAACACUGACUGAGACAUUUCCUAUUGGGAAAAGCAAAACCCUUGGGAAGUACCAUGCAUAUUCCUCACAUAAUGCUGUAAUAAGGCAAUUGUAUUGAAAUUAAAAAAAGAGAUUGAGAGAUUUAUCUCCCCUUUCAGUCACACGGUAUCAUGGAGCUGUCCGGGAGCCUCUAAGCAAAGCAAUCCCACGUCUGCAAAAUCAGCCAGCUCAGAAAGUCAGGCUGAUUGGCUAACGAUGGCUUGAUACCUUCCACCAAAGUCAUUAAAAUUCUUCCUUAUCUCAACAGAAUAACUUCUCACUGUAAUAAUCUUAUUACACCCCAGUUGUUCUGUUCCUCUGCCAGGCAGGUUACACACAACGCCUGCCUCUGUGAUGCCGUGCCUGCCUCUCAUCCUGCUUGGUGUACAGCCCCGGGCCAGCCCUUUCCAGGAGAUGCUCCAAAACACCACAGGUAGAAUGAUCAGCAUUUCUGGAUCAAUGCCCUUACCCAGCUCUAAGCUGCUUCUGUGGAUUUCCAUGGGAGAGCUCCUGACUUCACAUGGAGCACCACUGCAGGCAGCGUGCAUUGUAAACACAAGGGGGUGGUAAUUACACCCAUUUCUUUGCUGCACAUCUGUGCAGAACUUUCCACUGCCUUUGUCCCAAGAGCUACAAUAUGUCUUAAAAUCAAUAAAGUCG